rnacentral:SRP_RNA from 1 species
GGGUGGGUCCUGUACGACGAAGCACCGUGAACCAUGUCAGGCGGGGAACCGAGCAGCAUUAAACGGUUGUCUUUGGGUGAUAUAGGUAGUCUGUCCGUC